GUUUCCUGAGGCCUCCCCAGCAAUGGAGAACUGUGGGAACUGGAGUGCACGGAUGCCAGCAGGAGUGAACUCCACUCAGUUGUACCCACUGUGCUCAAUCCCUCAUGAGAGGGAGUGCGCAGCAGGAUAAAGAGGAGAAGGAAGAGGAGGAGUUG